CCUACGGGAGACUGCAGUGAGGAAUAUUGGUCAAUGGGCGGAAGCCUGAACCAGCCAAGUCGCGUGAGGGAAUAAGGCCCUACGGGUCGUAAACCUCUUUUGCCGGGGAGCAAGGGCGGGGACGUGUCCCGGCCCGGAGAGUACCCGGAGAAAAAGCAUCGGCUAACUCCGUGCCAGCAGCCGCGGUAAUACGGAGGAUGCGAGCGUUAUCCGGAUUUAUUGGGUUUAAAGGGUGCGUAGGCGGGCUUUUAAGUCAGCGGUAAAAAUUCGGGGCUCAACCCCGUCCGGCCGUUGAAACUGGGGGCCUUGAGUGGGCGAGAAGAAGGCGGAAUGCGUGGUGUAGCGGUGAAACGCAUAGAUAUCACGCAGAACCCCGAUUGCGAAGGCAGCCUGCCGGCGCCCUACUGACGCUGAGGCACGAAAGUGCGGGGAUCGAACAGGAUUAGAUACCCCAGUAGUC
rnacentral:rRNA from 1 species